UGGCUCAGAGUGAACGCUGGCGGCAGGCCUAACACAUGCAAGUCGAACGGCAGCACGGGGGCAACCCUGGUGGCGAGUGGCGAACGGGUGAGUAAAGCAUCGGAACGUGCCCUGGAGUGGGGGAUAACGUAGCGAAAGUUACGCUAAUACCGCAUAUUCUGUGAGCAGGAAAGCAGGGGGAUCGCAAGACCUUGCGCUCUGGGAGCGGCCGAUGUCGGAUUAGCUAGUUGGUGGGGUAAAGGCCUACCAAGGCGACGAUCCGUAGCGGGUCUGAGAGGAUGAUCCGCCACACUGGGACUGAGACACGGCCCAGACUCCUACGGGAGGCAGCAGUGGGGAAUUUUGGACAAUGGGCGGAAGCCUGAUCCAGCCAUGCCGCGUGAGUGAAGAAGGCCUUCGGGUUGUAAAGCUCUUUCGGUGGGGAAGAAAUUGCACGGGUUAAUACCCUGUGUAGAUGACGGUACCCGACUAAGAAGCACCGGCUAACUACGUG
rnacentral:rRNA from 1 species